UACGAAGGGACCUAGCGUAGUUCGGAAUUACUGGGCGUAAAGCGCGCGUAGGCCGUUGAGUUAGUUAAUUGUGAAAUCCCAAAGCUUAACUUUGGAACUGCAAUUAAAACUGCUCGACUAGAGUUUGAUAGAGGAAAGCGGAAUACAUAGUGUAGAGGUGAAAUUCGUAGAUAUUAUGUAGAACACCAGUUGCGAAGGCGGCUUUCUGGAUCAACACUGACGCUGAGGCGCGAAAGUAUGGGUAGCAAACAGG
rnacentral:rRNA from 1 species